AUGGCGGUGCCUCCAUCCGACAUGCAACAAAACUUCAGCAGCCUUCUCCAAUCCCGGGAGGGCACUGACGUUGUUUUUCGUGUCCGUGGUGCGACGUUCGCCGCUCAUCGGUGCGUCCUGGCGGCCCGCUCUAGUGUGUUCAGAUCAUUGGUCUUCGGCCCAAAGAAGGAAGGCCCGUCCUCGACUGCCUCUGACGUGCAGAUAGAGGAGGUGUUCGAGGCGAUGCUCGGGUUCAUCUACGGCGACUUGCUGACCAUGCCGUCGGUGGUGAAGGAUGAGGGCGUCCUGGUGCAGCACCUGCUUGUCGCGGCAGACAGGUAUGAUCUCCGGAGGCUUAAGUUGAUGUGCGCGAACAAACUGUGUGCGCACAUCGGCAUGGACACGGCGAAAACUAUCUUGGCCCUCGCCGAGAAGCAUGGCUGCGACGGUCUGCAGAACUCGUGGGACUUCGAUCAUCUCUGCAGAAGUUGUCCCUCCGUUAUGAAGUGCAUCGUCCUUGCCAUGCUGCCGGCUAAGUAG
rnacentral:rRNA from 1 species